UACGUAGGCAGCGAGCGUUGUUCGGAGUUACUGGGCGUAAAGGGUGCGUAGGCGGUUGUUUAAGUUUGGUGUGAAAUCUCCCGGCUCAACUGGGAGGGUGCGCCGAAUACUGAAUGACUAGAGUGCGGGAGAGGAGAGUGGAAUUCCUGGUGUAGCGGUGAAAUGCGUAGAUAUCGGGAGGAACACCAGUGGCGAAGGCGGCCUUCUGGACCAGUACUGACGCUCAUGCACGAAAGCGUGGGGAGCAAACAGG
rnacentral:rRNA from 1 species